GUGCAGGAUAAGUUACAAUGCAGCUUGUGCAGUACUGUGUUGUCGUUCCCCCUGCAAAUAUGAACUUGUUUCCUCGCUAUCCCUGACUGUCCCAUCUCUUGGACUGUCAGGGACGUAAGGAUUCAGACAU
rnacentral:snoRNA from 1 species